CAAGUGCUGUAGUGGUCUCUGGUGUAUACACUUGCUGAAGAUGUGAAUAUUUAUAUUUUUUUACUUAGGGAGCACCUUGUUAUGGUAAAUUUUGUGAUACUUUCUUGCCUAAAUACGGGAAACCUCUGUUACCUUUACUUUUAAAAAAAAUUAAAAAUCACAAAUGUUUAAAAAUUGAUUAUUAUAUCAAAAUUAUUGUUUAGAAUAGUUAAUGUUAAUUGAUUUCCAUUUUGAUGAAGAAGCAGCCUGAACAAGAGUCCUAGAAGUGAAACAGUUUUCUUGUGAUAGCACUUGAUUGGAAAUUUGUCUCAUUCUGUCAUAUGUCAUGAUUGAAUUGAUAUAUAAUCCAUAUAUAUACUGAAUAAAGUCAUUGGACAAUGC
rnacentral:misc_RNA from 1 species